rnacentral:misc_RNA from 1 species
AAGUCGUAACAAGGUUUCCGUAGGUGAACCUGCGGAAGGAUCAUUAUCGAAUGAAACAAGGAGUCGGUUGUCGCUGGCCCCCCCCACCCUUCACCCGGGAGGCAUGUGCACGCCUUCUCUUUUUCAUCCACACACACACCUGUGAACUUGUGAGACGGGGAGUUUCGGUCGGGGCCCUCUUCGCGGGGGGAAAUCGAUCGCUCCGUCUACUCUACAUAAACUCUUUUAAUAUAAAUCUGAAUGUCAAUCGAUGUAACGCAUCUUUUAAACUAAGUUUCAACAACGGAUCUCUUGGCUCUC